GACGAACGCUGGCGGCGUGCUUAACACAUGCAAGUCGAACGGAAAGGCCCCCUUGUGGGGUACUCGAGUGGCGAACGGGUGAGUAACACGUGAGUAACCUACCCUUGACUUUGGGAUAACUUCAGGAAACUGGGGCUAAUACCGGAUAGGAGCUCCUGCUGCAUGGUGGGGGUUGGAAAGUUUCGGCGGUUGGGGAUGGACUCGCGGCUUAUCAGCUUGUUGGUGGGGUAGUGGCUCACCAAGGCUUUGACGGGUAGCCGGCCUGAGAGGGUGACCGGCCACAUUGGGACUGAGAUACGGCCCAGACUCCUACGGGAGGCAGCAGUGGGGAAUAUUGCACAAUGGGCGGAAGCCUGAUGCAGCAACGCCGCGUGCGGGAUGACGGCCUUCGGGUUGUAAACCGCUUUCGCCUGUGACGAAGCGUGAGUGACGGUAAUGGGUAAAGAAGCACGGGCUAACUACGUG
rnacentral:rRNA from 1 species